rnacentral:tRNA from 1 species
GGGGCUGUAGCUCAGGGGAUAGAGCAGGGCCGUCCUAAGGCUCGUGUCGGCGGUUCGAUUCCGCCCAGCCCCUCCG